rnacentral:rRNA from 1 species
AUGUCACUUUCCUCCGACUCGGAGCCCUUGCCAAGGCUGAAAGUCCGAAGGGUAACCCGGAAAGUAAGAUUUUCACAUCCUUUAGCUUAUCAAGAUCCUCAAUUUCUUUUGAAGCGACAGACUCAUGAGAGCCGGCGGCACACCCGGACCAACAAGGACGCUGACCUCUCCUCCGGUUUACCUGACGCGUUGAGGAAACGCCGGACCGAGGUUAUCUCCCACUUGUACCCUUUUCAUCCUUUGGCGGGUGUUAUACGUCAACCGCUCAAUUCCUCCGAUUCAAACUAUCAGGAAACCUCACCCUCCUCUGGUGACUCGAUGCAAUCAAACCUGCCGGCCUUCAAGACCGUACGCGGGUAA